AUUGAACGCUGGCGGAAUGCUUUACACAUGCAAGUCGAACGGUAGAGGGGGCAACCCCUCGAGAGUGGCGAACGGGUGAGUAAUAUAUCGGAACGUGCCCAGUCGUGGGGGAUAACGUAGCGAAAGUUACGCUAAUACCGCAUACGAUCUAAGGAUGAAAGCGGGGGAUCGCAAGACCUCGCGCGAUUGGAGCGGCCGAUAUCAGAUUAGGUAGUUGGUGGGGUAAAGGCUCACCAAGCCAACGAUCUGUAGCUGGUCUGAGAGGACGACCAGCCACACUGGAACUGAGACACGGUCCAGACUCCUACGGGAGGCAGCAGUGGGGAAUUUUGGACAAUGGACGCAAGUCUGAUCCAGCCAUUCCGCGUGCAGGAUGAAGGCCCUCGGGUUGUAAACUGCUUUCGUACGGAACGAAAAGGUCUCUCUUAAUACGGGGGACUCAUGACGGUACCGUAAGAAUAAGCACUGGCUAACUACGUGCCAGCCGCCGCGGUAA
rnacentral:rRNA from 1 species